GUGGUUUUUGUUCCACAGGCUGCAGGAUUGUAGUUCUUCUUGCUUCUGCUGUCUGCCCUCUGGUGGAUGAGGCUAUCUAAGAGGCUUGUGCAAGUUUCCUGAUGGGAGGGACUGGUGGUGGGUAGAGCUGACUGUUGCUCUGGUAGGCAGAGCUCAGUAAAACUUUAAUCCCAUUGACUGCUGAUGGGUGGGGCUGGGUUCCCUCCCUGUUGGUUGUUUGGCCAGGCUCUUUGGUGGGGCUAAUGGCAGACUCUGGGAGGGCUCACGCCAAGGAGUACUUCCCAGAACUUCUGCUGCCAGUGUCCUUGUCCUCACAGUGAGACAGAGCCACCCCCCACCCCUGCAGGAGACCCUCCAACACUAGCAGAAGACACUUGGGCACAGGAAUUAAAUUGUGUAUUUCAAUAAUUCAGAACUCUGCAUUUGACUGGCUGAAUAUCUCAAUUCACCACAAGAUGGCAGCACGAAGUUAAUUUUUAAAACUGGAAAGAAAGGAAGAAAGAAAUAUGGAAGGAACAGAGGUAAAAAGAAAAGAAAGUGGGGUGCAGGAGGGAGAGGUGGCAAUGAAAAAGCAAAGUAAAAGAACGGAGAAAAAACAUUUCACAAACAUUCAGCUAGAUUACAUUUAACGAAAGAAAAGAACCAAGCCACCGAUGUAGGAAAUUUCCGAGAGAGGAAACCAGUGUUAUAACCACAUUUACUCACAGCCUCGAUGUGUGAGUAUAAGAUAGACAUUUGACCUUCUUAUAAAAGCAGUUGUGUCUCUGGGAAACUAUGAGAAUGAAUUUACAUUUACAAAGUGUUCUGGUCCAGUUAAGUCAGUCUUACGUUAGCAUAAAGAUCAGCUUGGAUUCAAGACUUAUUUUAUCUAGUACCCUUCAUAGAGGUCUUACACGUUGGUUUCCAUGUUUAAUUGUGUGGGGAAAUAGGAUACAUUAUUCAAGAAGAGAAUAAUUAGACACACACUGGCAGCAAUGCCUUGAUAUGUUGGAAAUAGAAAGGGUGCCACCAGUUCAGUGGUCCUGGAAGCCCCUGAGCUGAGCAGAAUUCUUUCAGCAUUGGCUCUUUGAUUCUCCAUGGACCAUCCACCACUUACUUGACCUACUGUCAUUGAUCUCUUCUGGCUACUUGCUCUGUCCCCUGUCUCAUGAAUUUGGGAUAGCAGAAAGUUCAAGAAAGGGAGAGAUCUUAAGAAUGGUGAUUGCUUCAUCUUGAGAUUGAGUUUUUUUAACCUUGGCACUAAUGACAUUUGGGGCCAGACAAUUCCUUUUCUCGUGGGGGGUGGUGAGGGGCUGUCCUUCCCAUGGUAGGAAAUUUAGCAGCAUCUUUGGCACAUACCACCAAAUGCCUGGAACACCUCCACCCCAAGCUGUGACAUCCAAAUUGUCUCCAGACGUUGCCAAGGGUCUCCUAGGGAACAAACUUAUCUCCACCUCCCCAUUUGAGUACCACUGCUUUAGAUAAACUCUAACUAACUGAAGAAAAUCCUGAAAGUUUUGUUUAUCUUGCUGUCCUGUUCAUGGGCAAAACUCAUAUUGAGUCCACAGAGAAACGUGUGUUUUUCAAAUGUGUUUUCCAAGUAUGAAAUUGGACAUAAAUGCCUUUGUUAGAGUCAGAGGAAUGUUCUCUAUAUGAAACAAAUCAACAAAUAUUUAUUAUGAAUGUUUUGUUGAGCAAAGACUUAUGCCAGGCACUGUAGGGCAUACAAAACAGUAAAAGAAUUUUUAUAGAAAUGAAAACAAUUAAUGCUGGUCGAACCCUUACUAUGUGCCAGACACGUUUUCUGUCCAUUGUGAAUAUGCGUCUUCUAUUCAUCUCCUUUCGACUUUGCAAGCUCUCUAUGAAGAAAUAUUAUUUGCAUUUUAUAGGUGAAGAAACUGAGGUUGAGAAAAGUUCAGUCACUAGCUCAAUGCCACAUUCAUGGUAGGUGACAAAGGCCAGUCUUCCUAACACCAAGGACUGUGUAUGCUCUAGUCCCAAACACUAACCCUUGAGGAGAUUACAGUCUGGUUAGGGGAACAAUGCAUGUACACAGGAAAGGUGUCUAAUGUCAUAACAUCUAAUGUCAUAUCUAUUCCAAAAAAAUUACAGGACACGUUGCUAUAGACUAGAGUGAUCUGAGAAAUAGAGUGUGAUCGGUCUUGAUCUGUGUGUCCUUAAAGAAUAGAAGAUUAGAGAGGUAGAUUAGAAAGAUGGGCAAGUGUAGGUUCCAUUCUAUAAAAGGGCAAUCUUCUGAGAAGCGGUAAAACUGUGGAAGGGUGUUGAGAGCAUAGGGUACAGAUGGCUAAAUGGAAUGGAAGAUCUGUGCUGAGAAGGAGAGGUAAUACAGGUUGGAAAGGGUGGCUGGCAACAAAUGACACAGGGACUUGAAUAUAAUCCAGAAAUAAUAAACUGGCAGGCCAAAAUAAUAACUUUGGUUCAGUUCAGAGUUCUGAAAAUUGAGAAAUUUGGGAAAAGCUGGAUUUCUAACAUUCUUGAAUGUGGUGACUUUGAGUCUACAUUCCUGUAUCUCAACCCUUUGCUGAAGCCAAGGAGGGGUCACUGUCUUUAAUGGGCUCUGGGCUCUCCAGUUCAGCAAAACCCACACCACACCCUAAUCUAUUACCUCCUCUUGCUUCACUUAAUUAUCUGCUUAGCCCCUCUCAGCAGUGGAAUUUGCACCUAAAUUUAGAAAAGGGUGUUCUCAAAAUUUAAUCUGAUAAAACCAAUGAAAAUUGACUUUUUCUUCUAACAGUCCACUAGAAAUGGGAGACAAGAGCUAAUCCUCCAUUCGACGUCUUUCCAUAUAUCCAAGGACUAUUAUUAAAGUGUCCUUUCCUUCCUGUCUUCCCCACUGUGAUCACCCCUAGUUGUGUAGCUUUCUCCAGGAGCCGUGCACUAUAAACCUUCCACCGUUGCUGCUGUUCAGUGCUGGAGUUGAUGUGGACUUCCACAUCUUUGUAAACUGUGAGCACCAACCUGUGUACCCCAGCACUGCUGUCACCUCUUCUACUUGUGCCUAGUCUGUGACACCUCAACCCAGCAACUGAUAUUUCCACUAUGUUCCAGGCACUGUGUUAAUGAAUGUCGACUAUCACUAACAGACACAGAGCAGGAGGAUUUACAUUCUAGUGGCAGAGAUAGACAGUAAGCAAUGAACAGAAAACAUAAGUAAAUUAUAUGUGUUUGAAAACGAUAUCUGCUAAGGAAAAAAAACCAAUAGAGUGGAGUUAGGGGGCUGGCAAUGGGGAUUGCAAUUUUCAGUAGAGUGUUCAGCGUAGGCCGCUUUGAGAAGGUGGCAUUUAAACAAAGACUUGAAAGAGGUUGCUGUGGGAAAUGACCUUAAUGCCGUAGGAACAUCCAAGUAGCAGUCAAGCUCUUCUGUUAUGGAACAGAAAGGCUCACAGGCCAAAUUAAGAUACUCAAAUCAUGCAGAUUAUUGAAUCAACGUAACACAUGGAGAGUAGCAAGAGGAAAGAGAUGGUAUAGGUUAACAUACUUAGGAUGUUGUAUAAGCAGGUAGAAGGCUCACGCUAGAUGAAUCCUGAGUUGUGCAACGUUAAUAUAUUCUCUCUCUCUCUCUCUCUCUCACAUACACACAUACACACACACAAACACCAGCCUUCUCACUGAUAGUAAAGUUAUAGGACCAGACUUGAACCUAACCCAGAAGCUCAGCAGAGAGAAGAUGCCUGGGGACCAACACACGCUUGCUCUAUCAGAGAGACUCAAGGCCAAGCACUCUUGGUCUAAAGCUGUAGCUCAUAUAAUAAGCCUGUUGAACAGCCACAAGCUUUUCCUGGUUUUCUUGGGCGGAAAACACGUGGAGUCAGAGU